CAGAGCGGGGCCGGAAGUUGUCGGAAGAGGAAGUGAUAUCAGCGGUCUGGACGCCAACCGCGUUUGCAGAGGAAUCGUCCAGGAGCCCUAGCUGGACAGGAAUAUGGCAGAAGUGGACCUGAGCAGCCUGGACAUCCUUCUAAGGAGACAUGAAUAGUUCUCGUGUUUCUGCCUUCCACAUUAGUGGCUCUGCUCUUACAGAGGAAUUGUUGUUCAGGAGCCCUAGGCAGAGGAGAAGCUGGCAGAAGUGGAUCUGAGCAGCUUGGACAUCCUUCUAAGCAGAUAUGAACAGUCCUCAGCUUUCUGCCUCCCUCAUAACUACACUUCACAACUUUUAGCGGCACGGCUGAAGCCUAAGAUAAAUGCAUGGUAGUAGCUGAGUACACACGGCUGCUUCUCUUUAGUAGGAAGGAGAAAGAAGUCAAGGGUAAGAGCCCACCCCCGGUGUGAGAUGGAAGGCACGCAAGAGCCAUGAGACAGUGAGCAUUGUUGAUGCCAGGCUAUGGCGAUGCCAUCUAGCUGGAAACGGAGCAGCCGUCACUGUCAGUGAGCUAAGUGUCUGGUUUGGUGAGGAGUCUGGUCACGGCCCACAUGGCUCCAGGCAGGGAUGCGCCGUUAGCUUGGUCUGUGUUUGUAAGAAAAGGUUCCCGUCUAGCUGUGGCUACGAGGGAGACAAGGUCCCCCGUUAUCAGGGGCUGCUCAUUUUGUCUGGCCAGGAGCGGUGUGUUCAUCGCAGCGAAAGGUUGCAUCUAGGAGGAUGACUCUAGCUGAGGAACAGUCGAGCAGCAGCCGAAGGAAAAGCUGGCAGAGGUGGACCUGAGCAGCCUGGACAUCCUUGUAAGCAGAGAUUAACAGUCCUCCGCUUUCUGCCUUCCGCAUAACUGACUAGGGAGAAUUUCCCAAUAUUGGGAGCAGCUGAUCUUCCUGGACAGGGAGAAGCAUGUUCACCUGAGCAGAGGCCUGGAACCGGAAAGAGGAAUCGCCCAGGACCCCAGCCAGAGGAGAAACUGGAAGAAGUGAACCUGAGCAGCCUGGACAUCCUUGUAAGCAGAGAUGAACAGUCCUCCGCUUUCUGUCUUCUGCAUGACUGGCUCUGCGCUUGCAGAGGAAUUGGCCAGGAGCCACAGCCACAGGAGAAGCUGGCACAAGUGGACCUGAGCAACCUGGAUAUCCUUCUAAGCAGAUAUGAACAGUCCUCAGGUUUCCGCCUCCCAGAUAAUUGGCUCUGAGUAAGAGAGGGAGAAUUUCUCUAUAUUGGGAGCAGUUGAUCUUCCUGGACAGGGAGGAGCAUGUUCACCUGAGCAGAGGCCUGGAACCGGAAAGAGGAAUCGCCCAGGACCCCAGCCAGAGGAGAAACUGGAAGAAGUGAACCUGAGCAGCCUGGACAUCCUUGUAAGCAGAGAUGAACAGUCCUCCGCUUUCUGUCUUCUGCAUGACUGGCUCUGCGCUUGCAGAGGAAUUGGCCAGGAGCCCCAGCCACAGGAGAAGCUGAUACAAGUGGACCUGAGCAACCUGGAAAUCCUUCUAAGCAGAUAUGAACAGUCCCCAGGUUUCCGCCUCCCAGAUAAUUGGCUCUGAGUAAGAGAACGCAGGAGAGCUUGCGGCAGAAGGCGGGUCCAGGUGGAUGCAGAGGACGCGGGCUUUGACUUGGCUGA